UUGAACGCUGGCGGCAGGCCUAACACAUGCAAGUCGAACGGUAACAGGAAGAAGCUUGCUUCUUUGCUGACGAGUGGCGGACGGGUGAGUAAUGUCUGGGAAACUGCCUGAUGGAGGGGGAUAACUACUGGAAACGGUAGCUAAUACCGCAUAACGUCGCAAGACCAAAGAGGGGGACCUUCGGGCCUCUUGCCAUCGGAUGUGCCCAGAUGGGAUUAGCUAGUAGGUGGGGUAACGGCUCACCUAGGCGACGAUCCCUAGCUGGUCUGAGAGGGUGACCAGCCACACUGGAACUGAGACACGGUCCAGACUCCUACGGGAGGCAGCAGUGGGGAAUAUUGCACAAUGGGCGCAAGCCUGAUGCAGCCAUGCCGCGUGUAUGAAGAAGGCCUUCGGGUUGUAAAGUACUUUCAGCGGGGAGGAAGGGAGUAAAGUUAAUACCUUUACUCAUUGACGUUACCCGCAGAAGAGGCACCGGCUAACUCCGUG
rnacentral:rRNA from 1 species